GUAAUAUGUCUGAUUAAAGUAAUAGUUUGUAAAUCUAUAUAAGAAAUUUCAAUUUCUAUUACCA
rnacentral:tRNA from 1 species